AUUGAACGCUGGCGGCAGGCCUAACACAUGCAAGUCGAGCGGAUGAAGGGAGCUUGCUCCUGGAUUCAGCGGCGGACGGGUGAGUAAUGCCUAGGAAUCUGCCUGGUAGUGGGGGAUAACGUCCGGAAACGGGCGCUAAUACCGCAUACGUCCUGAGGGAGAAAGUGGGGGAUCUUCGGACCUCACGCUAUCAGAUGAGCCUAGGUCGGAUUAGCUAGUUGGUGGGGUAAAGGCCUACCAAGGCGACGAUCCGUAACUGGUCUGAGAGGAUGAUCAGUCACACUGGAACGGAGACACGGUCCAGACUCCUACGGGAGGGAGCAGUGGGGAAUAUUGGACAAUGGGCGAAAGCCUGAUCCAGCCAUGCCGCGUGUGUGAAGAAGGUCUUCGGAUUGUAAAGCACUUUAAGUUGGGAGGAAGGGCAGUAAGUUAAUACCUUGCUGUUUUGACGUUACCAGCAGAAUAAGCACCGGCUAACUUCGUG
rnacentral:rRNA from 1 species